rnacentral:rRNA from 1 species
GAUGAACGCUAGCGGCAGGCUUAACACAUGCAAGUCGAGGGGCAGCACGAGUAGCAAUAUUUGGUGGCGACCGGCGCACGGGUGAGUAACGCGUAUGCAAUCUACCUUUAACUGGGGCAUAGCUCCGAGAAAUCGGAAUUAAUACCCCAUAAUAUUAAUGAGAGACAUCUCUUAUUAAUGAAAGUUCCAACGGUUAAAGAUGAGCAUGCGUGCCAUUGGCUUGUUGGUAGGGUAACGGCCUACCAAGGCUACGAUGGCUAGGGGGUCUGAGAGGAUGAUCCCCCACACUGGUACUGAGACACGGACCAGACUCCUACGGGAGGCAGCAGUGAGGAAUAUUGGUCAAUGGGCGCAAGCCUGAACCAGCCAUGCCGCGUGAAGGAUGAAUGCCCUAUGGGUUGUAAACUUCUUUUGUACGGGAAGAAACCUUCUGACGUGUCAGAAGCUGACGGUACUGUACGAAUAAGCAUCGGCUAACUCCGUGCCAGCAGCAGCCGCGGUAA